rnacentral:rRNA from 1 species
CGAACGGGUGAGUAACGCGUGAGUAACCUGCCCUGGAGUGGGGGACAACAGUUGGAAACGACUGCUAAUACCGCAUAAGCCCACGGAUCCGCACGGAUCUGCGGGAAAAGGAUUUAUUCGCUUCAGGAUGGACUCGCGUCCAAUUAGCUAGUUGGUGAGGUAACGGCCCACCAAGGCGACGAUUGGUAGCCGGACUGAGAGGUUGAACGGCCACAUUGGGACUGAGACACGGCCCAG